rnacentral:rRNA from 1 species
UACGGGGGGGGCAAGCGUUGUUCGGAAUUACUGGGCGUAAAGGGCUCGUAGGCGGCCAACUAAGUCAAACGUGAAAUCCCUCGGCUUAACCGGGGAACUGCGCUUGAUACUGGAUGGCUUGAGAUUGGGAGAGGGAUGCGGAAUUCCAGGUGUAGCGGUGAAAUGCGUAGAGAUCGGGAGGAACACCCGUAGCGAAGGCGGCCGACUGGACCAUACCUGACGCUGAGGCGCGAAGGCCAGGGGAGCGAACGGG